AUUGAACGCUGGCGGCAUGAUUUACACAUGCAAGUCGAACGGUAACAGGCCGCAAGGUGCUGACGAGUGGCGAACGGGUGAGUAAUGCAUCGGAACGUGCCCAGUCUUGGGGGAUAACUACUCGAAAGAGUAGCUAAUACCGCAUACGAUCUAUGGAUGAAAGCGGGGGACCGUAAGGCCUCGCGCGAUUGGAGCGGCCGAUGUCAGAUUAGGUAGUUGGUGGGGUAAAGGCUCACCAAGCCAACGAUCUGUAGCUGGUCUGAGAGGACGACCAGCCACACUGGGACUGAGACACGGCCCAGACUCCUACGGGAGGCAGCAGCGGGGAAUUUUGGACAAUGGGCGCAAGCCUGAUCCAGCAAUGCCGCGUGCAGGAAGAAGGCCUUCGGGUUGUAAACUGCUUUUGUACGGAACGAAACGGCUCUGGUUAAUACCCGGGGCUAAUGACGGUACCGUAAGAAUAAGCACCGGCUAACUACGUG
rnacentral:rRNA from 1 species